rnacentral:rRNA from 1 species
ACCUGAAAUCAAGCAAGAUCACCCGCUGAACUUAAGCAUAUCAGUAAGCGGAGGAAAAGAAACUAACAAGGAUUGCCUUAGUAGUGGCGAAUGAACCGGCAAUAGCUCAAAGUGUAAAUCUGAGGCAUCAAGUCUUAGAAUUGUAAUCUAUAGGCCUUUUAGGGAAGCCAUGGUUCUAGCAUAAGUUCCCUGAAAAGGGAUGCCAAAGAGGGUAAAAGCCCCGUAUUUGGUUAGGACUGGGUGUACCGAAGGGUUCCAAGAGUCGGGUUGUUUGGGAUUGCAGCCUAAAAUGGGAGAUAAACUUCUUCUAAAGCUAAAUAUUUAUGGGAAACCGAUAGCAAACAAGUACUACGAAGGAAAGAUGAAAAGAACUUUGAAAAGAGGGUUAAAAGACUUGAAAUCGUUGAGGAGAAAAGCGGUAGAAGAGAAAUGAUUUCAUUUAGAAGUAUGUAGUUUUGUAGGUGUCUUCUGUGGUAAUGGUACUUCAUAGGGCCUAGCUAUAGACCGGCAUCGCAUUGCUGCUUUUUCUGGAUGAAGUGCAAAAUGAGGUCUCGCUUGCGGAAACGUCUCUAGGGAGGACUCUGGCCUUGACGCUGGAAGCCCUGGUCUCCAA